CUACGGGAGGCUGCAGCGGGGAAUAUUGCACAAUGGAGGAAACUCUGAUGCAGCAACGCCGCGUGGAGGAUGACACUUUUCGGAGCGUAAACUCCUUUUAUAUAGGAAGAAGAUGACGGUACUAUAUGAAUAAGCGCCGGCUAACUCCGUGCCAGCAGCCGCGGUAAUACGGAGGGCGCAAGCGUUACUCGGAAUCACUGGGCGUAAAGAGCGUGUAGGCGGAUUAAAAAGUCAGAAGUGAAAUCCUAUAGCUUAACUAUAGAACUGCUUCUGAAACUCUUAAUCUAGAAUAUGGGAGAGGUAGAUGGAAUUUCUGGUGUAGGGGUAAUAUCCGUAGAGAUCAGAAGGAAUACCGAUUGCGAAGGCGAUCUACUAGAACAUUAUUGACGCUGAGACGCGAAAGCGUGGGGAGCAAACAGGAUUAGAUACCCCCGUAGUC
rnacentral:rRNA from 1 species